GUUUUCUUAAAGGUUUUAAAAGACACUUCAUCAGAACUAAAUAGUUCUUCCAUGCUGGAGAAACAAAAGCCAAAAGCUUCACACCUCUUUUAACUGAAAUAUGCUUAGUGAUAGUGGUAGGCCUAACUUCUAUGUUUAAGGUACUUCGUUUCAUUGACAUGUUGUACGCAAAUAGACCCAGUAAUAAAAUAUCCAGACAUCAUGAAUCUCAUUUGUUUCUAGCUGUGACUAGUGCAGAAAGGGAUUAGAUAUGGAUCUGUAUUAUGCCCUCUUGUACCGAACUGUGAAAUCUCAGAAGCCAGCUGAAGAGGUCUAAUCUUCAGACAAACAACCUGAUCUUUUUCCCAACGAUAGGAUUAAUAACCUGUAGGUAAAGCAAUGAUAUUUGUAAACACACUUCUGACUUUCCCGAGGGCUGUAGUUUCGAAUGUAGUUCCCUUUUUUAUGCAAAAGGACCUGACAGGAUUGUGACAAGAAUUCUGACACCUUCCUCCUCUCUGUGCCCUUGUAGCAAAGGUGAGGCAACGUUCAUGGUAUUGCAUCACUUACUUGGUUUGAUGUGAAAAAGGAUAUAUGCACCUUGUAUUGAGAGAGACUGUUUUGCAAAGUCAAACCUUUAGGAAGAGCAUUUGAUUAGAUGAAAACAGCCAAAAAUAUAGAAAAAUAGCUGCACUUCCUUAACACUGUGCUGUUAAGGAAAAGAGAGAGAGAGGAAACAAAAACAAGUAAAUUAAAUAUCAAACUCCUAAAUGUGAGAACACUUAAUUGUUCACGUGGCGUGUUCUUUUUGGUAAUACUGGAGAAAAGGUAUCUGAAAGCACACACUGCUCUUAAAUUCACAAAUGGUCCCUAGGCUGAUGAUGCUAUUUUUAUUAUGACUGCUUCAGCUUGACUGUAAACCAGAUGUUGAAGCAAUCACACAGCAUUUCGCUUAUGUGAGAUGCUUAUCAACAGAGGCCAGAGGCUUAGACCAUAUAUUUUAUUGCAGUAUACUUGACGCCUCCAAACCUUUGCAUAUGCUUUGCAAUUCCUGAGUGUGCCAACUGGUAAAGCAGUAGGAUGGUGGUAAAAACAAAUUACAGUGGAACAUAUUAGUGUUGUGACUGUAAAAUCUGCAGUUCAGUUUUGCGGAAAAACAAUGGCUUUGUUGCUUUCUUCUUCUGUCUCAUUCAUGUUACUUGUGAAAUUGUUUUUAAAAUUUGAGCAUAUGCUAUAAAAUCUUCUUUAGUAAGCUUUGCAUUGAUUUGCAUUUGCAAAUCUGCUUUGCAAACAGAUAAAAGACCACCUGACUAUUAAGUGGUGGUUGAAAUCUGUUUUGGUAGUUGGUACUGCUUUAAUAAAAAAAAGAAAAAGAGUGAAGUAAAGUGAAAAAUGCUGUAAUUUGUACAACUGAGUGCUUCACUUACAGCAAAGAGCUGUGAUUUCUGGUCUGCUCAACCAGACAUUUCUUAAAACAAGGAUAAUAGCUCUGAGAGCAAAGUACACAAAACCUGACCCAGUAGCCUCAUUUUAGCUUUUAUCUCCUGGUUCAUUUUCCAGGAAAGAAUCCUAUUUUUCUGUCAGAUGAAAUAUCAUAAUUCGUAUUGAGAUUAGCAGCCUGUGUAUAAAGCAAUAUUUUGUGAGCUUCUCCCUCCCUGUACACACACAAACACGACAAAAUUCUGGAUGGAGGAAUGUCUUUUGAACAUUUUGAACCUUUUUAUCAUCUGAUACACACCAG
rnacentral:lncRNA from 1 species